AUACGUAGGGAGCGAGCGUUGUCCGGAAUUACUGGGUGUAAAGGGAGCGUAGGCGGGAGUGCAAGUCAGAUGUGAAAUACAUGGGCUCAACCCAUGGGCUGCAUUUGAAACUGCAUUUCUUGAGUGAAGUAGAGGUAAGCGGAAUUCCUGGUGUAGCGGUUAAAUGCGUAGAUAUCAGGAGGAACACCGGUGGCGAAGGCGGCUUACUGGGCUUUUACUGACGCUGAGGCUCGAAAGCGUGGGGAGCAAACAGGAUUAGAUACCCUGGUAGUCCACGCUGUAAACGAUGAUUACUAGGUGUGGGGGGACUGACCCCUUCCGUGCCGCAGUUAACACAAUAAGUAAUCCACCUGGGGAGUACGGCCGCAAGGUUGAAACUCAAAUGAAUUGGCGGGG
rnacentral:rRNA from 1 species